GAUGAACGCUGGCGGCGUGCCUAAUACAUGCAAGUCGAGCGAAGCGGGGACGGGUGAGUAACACGUGGAUAACCUCCUAUAAGACUGGGAUAACCUCGGGAAACCGGAGCUAAACCGGAUGCUUAUAGAUAGAUCCGCGCUGCAUUAGCUCGUUGGUAAGGUAACGGCUAACCAAGCCAACGAUGCAUAGCCGACCUGAGAGGCUGAUCGGCCACACUUGAACUGAGACACGGUCCAGACUCCUACGGGAGGCAGCAGUAUGGAAUCUUCCUCAAUGGGCGAAGGCCUGACAGAGCAACGCCGCAUGAGAGAUGAAGGUCUUCGGGUCGUAGAACUCUGUUAUUAGGAAAGCGGUACCUAAUCAGAAAGCCACGGCUAACUACGUGCCAGCGGCAGCAGUAGUAC
rnacentral:rRNA from 1 species